CAGAUACUCCAGUUGUGAUAAGAUCCAUGUCAAUGGUUCCUGCUCAAAGAACAAAGUGCUCAGAAUACUUGAAAGAGAUGACAAUAUUAGAAAUGAGUUCUCAUUGAACAUGAUAAGAAAAGAGAUGAAGUGGCAAUAGCAUCUUCAGGAGGUGAAAUCCAAAACAAAGACGAGCACUAGGAAAGCUAUAACAACCUUUUCUGAAAAACGAAUCCGAGCAAGAGCUUCACUAAGGCGUAUUAAACUCUCUAGCUGCCUUGGUGUGGCUGUAAUAACCUGUAAAAAAUUGCAUAUCAGCUAUCAGGGUAGCAAUACUUAGUCAUGGGGAUUAUUUGAAGAGUACAAUGUAAUAACAUGCGCUAGUAUCUUUCAGAAUAAAAAUAAGGCAAUGAAACUUAUAAUUUGACCAAUUUAGAAAUAGACCUUUUUACUGCUGCCA